AGUGAACGCUGGCGGUAGGCCUAACACAUGCAAGUCGAACGGCAGCACAGUAAGAGCUUGCUCUUACGGGUGGCGAGUGGCGGACGGGUGAGGAAUACAUCGGAAUCUACUUUUUCGUGGGGGAUAACGUAGGGAAACUUACGCUAAUACCGCAUACGACCUACGGGUGAAAGCAGGGGAUCUUCGGACCUUGCGCGAUUGAAUGAGCCGAGGUCGGAUUAGCUAGUUGGCGGGGUAAAGGCCCACCAAGGCGACGAUCCGUAGCUGGUCUGAGAGGAUGAUCAGCCACACUGGAACUGAGACACGGUCCAGCCUCCUACGGGAGGCAGCAGUGGGGAAUAUUGGACAAUGGGCGCAAGCCUGAUCCAGCCAUACCGCGUGGGUGAAGAAGGCCUUCGGGUUGUAAAGCCCUUUUGUUGGGAAAGAAAAGCAGCAGGUUAAUACCCCGCUGUUCUGACGGUACCCAAAGAAUAAGCACCGGCUAACUUCGUG
rnacentral:rRNA from 1 species